GUGUCUGUAGAGCAAUGGAAAGUUCGUUGGACUUUUAAUCCAAAGGUUGUCGGUUCGAAUCCUACUUGGGAUA